rnacentral:rRNA from 2 species
CGCAAUGCGGCGUGCUAUACAUGCAGUCGAACGCACUCUCGUUUAGAUUGAAGGAGCUUGCUCCUGAUUGAUAAACAUUUGAGUGAGUGGCGGACGGGUGAGUAACACGUGGGUAACCUGCCCUAAAGUGGGGGAUAACAUUUGGAAACAGAUGCUAAUACCGCAUAAAACCUAACACCGCAUGGUGUAGGGUUGAAAGAUGGUUUCGGCUAUCACUUUAGGAUGGACCCGCGGUGCAUUAGUUAGUUGGUGAGGUAAAGGCUCACCAAGACCGUGAUGCAUAGCCGACCUGAGAGGGUAAUCGGCCACACUGGGACUGAGACACGGCCCAGACUCCUACGGGAGGCAGCAGUAGGGAAUCUUCCACAAUGGACGAAAGUCUGAUGGAGCAACGCCGCGUGAGUGAAGAAGGUUUUCGGAUCGUAAAACUCUGUUGUUGGAGAAGAAUGUAUCUGAUAGUAACUGAUCAGGUAGUGACGGUAUCCAACCAGAAAGCCACGGCUAACUACGUGCCAGCAGCCGCGGUAAUACGUAGGUGGCAAGCGUUGUCCGGAUUUAUUGGGCGUAAAGCGAGCGCAGGCGGUUUCUUAAGUCUGAUGUGAAAGCCUUCGGCUCAACCGAAGAAGUGCAUCGGAAACUGGGAAACUUGAGUGCAGAAGAGGACAGUGGAACUCCAUGUGUAGCGGUGAAAUGCGUAGAUAUAUGGAAGAACACCAGUGGCGAAGGCGGCUGUCUGGUCUGUAACUGACGCUGAGGCUCGAAAGCAUGGGUAGCAAACAGGAUUAGAUACCCUGGUAGUCCAUGCCGUAAACGAUGAGUGCUAGGUGGUUGGAAGGGUUUCCGCCCUUCAGUGCCGCAGCUAACGCAUUAAGCACUCCGCCUGGGGGAGUACGACCGCAAGGUUGAAACUCAAAGGAAUUGACGGGGGCCCGCACAAGCGGUGGAAGCAUGUGGUUUAAUUCGAAGCAACGCGAAGAACCUUACCAGGUCUUGACAUCCUUUGACCACUCUAAAAGAUAGAGCUUUCCCUUCGGGGACAAAGUGACAGGUGGGGGCAUGGGUUGUCGUCAGCUC